AAGCCCCGUCUCCCGGCCGCCAGCUCCCCUCCACCCGCCCCCGUGGUGUGGGGGCGUCCCUCGGCAGCGUGCGGGGCCGCGCACACCUGCCAAGAUGCCCGUGGCGGUGGGGCCUGGGCCCCCGGGGCCGUCGGCCUGUUCCCCUGCCGCCCCCUCACAGCGCUGCUGGCCCCACUGGCAGCGGGGCCUGAAAAUCUUUGAUUAGCUUGCUGUUUCCUGCCAUCAGAACUGAUCAAGGAGUACUUCCCUGGGUGCUUCAGAUCUUUUGGGCCACAUGAUGGAAGAGAAGGACAAGCAGGGAUUCGUUAAGACUAGAUUUCAUUUUAGGAGGUUGGACCAGGGGAAGAUGAGCAAGCCAGCCAUGAAUGAAACUUCAUCUAAAUCUAGUGGUUAUUUUCCUGCACUUUCCAUAACCAGACUGUUGCUAUUAAACUAGUGCAGAGUUAAUAAUCUAUGCUGGCUGGUUUAGUUAUCACUUCUGUUCAGAAGUACCACCACAAGAUGAACGAGCUGCCUGGAAGUCUACCACAAGAAGCACUAACUAGAGGAAAAGUUAUUCCAGCAGGGGGAGAUCGUGACCACCGACUCGUUGACCAGAGACUCAAGAAACCCCCAGACCCCAAAAGUUGAGACUGAGCAUGCAAACUAAUUAACAUGAGAAGCAAAAGAAUUUCUGGACAAAUAGGAAACUGAGUAUUAAGUAAUGAAGGAAUUAUGCAACUUGUAACCAAUGAAUGCAGAAGUCUUUGCUUGCUGAACUGUAUAAAUAUUGUGAAGUUUUGACAAGUGGUGAGCUAGGCAUUUGUGGGUAACCACCUAGCUCCCUGCUUUGCGCAAACUAGAACAAAGGAAUAGAAAUACCUCGACUUGGUGUGUGAAUUAGCGCUGUGCACCGGAUAAUGAAUCCGCCUGCAGGACAACACUUCUGUGGGAAGCAAACUUCCAUCGCUUUGGGCCUUAGGCAGCACAGCUAAAUCUAACAGGAUGAAAGCUUCACAAAGCAAGAGAAGAAUAGGUCACCAGGUUGUGCUUCUGACCGGCUGUUCAGUUUCUGUUCUGCUUGCAGAGUUGCAUAUCUAUGGACUACUGUUAUGCAGGACAGUUUGCAAGAUAAUAUAUUGAUAAACCAUGAAAUCAAGUUACUGAUAACAUCCAGGGUGUGUUUGGAAAUGCCAAAGGUUCAGAGGAUCUUCAGGUAUAAGAAAAGAUGGACUGGUGAGAUUUAUUUGGGUUUUUUUUAAUUGGCAUUUCUUAUAAGCCCAGUGUCCACUGUGUUCAGUAAUUCAAUUCUAUGGCCAUAGGAAAAUGGGGCCUUUUGGCUGGGCUGUGGAUGAGGCAAGUGCUGGUGGUUUGGCUGGAUUUGGAAAGGAGAAGGAAGAGGAAAAGCUCUUCUUUCAUCUUUUAAAUCAAAGCUAAUGGCAGCAGUUGAUUUCAUCAGGAAACGACUGCUACUACCAGGAGGAACUCUAGGGACAUUCCUUCCCACGAGUUCCUUUGCUCUAGAAGGAUGAAGGAGUUCCUUCAUUUCACAAAAUUUCUUGCAUUUAAUUUUCAGCUCUGCCUUCAUUUAUUCAGAGUGGAGAAUACUGAAUGGCUAUCCCUGCUGUUCCAUAUCGCAGUAAUGCUGCUUCCUUUGGCUGCAUAGGAACACGUAAGAUCACUUGAGCCCUGCCUGUCACUGUCUGGGGCAGAACUGAGGCAAGGAGCUGCCCAGGUGGAUGUUGAAGCUGGUUUAUGCUUGCAGCAGAGUCCCCCUCUUGGCAGAGAUUUUUAGUGCUUUGUCAAGCUGUCUGCCUGCAUCAGUGAAUUGCUUGUUACAAAGUCAUAUCAGAGUGUUUAAAGAUUGCAAUGCACCUGUUAAUUUGGUUCGUUGAAUUGAUUAGGCGAGCUCAGUCGUGCUGGGGUAACACAAAAGCAUUCUUACAGCGUACCUGCAGCAUGCCAGCCUGCCAAAGGCAAGGGUAAUCAAUCAGUGUGUUGCCACCACAAUUAAUGUAGUCUGAGAUAGAGUUUGACUUGAAAGAUGAAGGGGAAAUUAAGCGUAACACAGUGAUAAUAGAGUGAUCAAUGCCGCUUGCUGGAGACUUAGCAUGUGCACUGAAAAGGAAGAUAUUUCAAUGAUAGCCACAGAUGUGUAAACGAGGUGGUAAGUCUUACCUGAAAUACAAAGCUAAAUAGAAGUGACUGGUAUGGGAGAGUUAACAUCGGUGCUUUACUAACAAAGCAAGAAAAAAAAGAAGCAUGAUGUCCCAAACUUUCUCUUUCAAGAAAGCAUAAAUAGUUCUGGUGGUUGUCAUGAAAUUCCUUUUUCUCAGUAUUUGAAUCACGGUUCUGUUUAUGAGAGAAAACAUUGUGUGUAAAGAAGGAGUUAGUGGAGAAGUCAUUUUCUUCUAGCACUUGAGUAGCCUGGGUUGUGAACCAGAAAUCUGUUGUCAUAUAAACUCUUUUUUGUUAUUAAAAGACAGCUUUCAAUGGCAAUAAAGUCAUCAGUUUGG